UACAAAUUGAGCAUUUGAAGUCUGUCUGUACUGUUUUAAAUUUUUCAAUGUGCUAUUUGGCAUAGUGGCAUUUGAUGUCCCAAAAGGCGAUAAUUUGUCAACCCUUCUUUUUAAUAAAUUUAUUAAUGAUAUUUCUAAUGUUAUAAAAAGAUAGUUUACACAUUUAUCUUUUUUCGAAUGACCUUAAAACUUAUAAAAAUAAUUAAUUCUCAUAAUAAUGCGAUUGGCUCACAAAAUGAAAUCAAUAAUAUUCAAACUUGGGGCUAAAUCGAAAGUGGCAGUCAGACAGUAUGAUCCGAGUCCACAGAACAAUGAAUGAAUGAACUUAUGAAAAUGACUUGCUCUUUACUCUUGAGUUUAAGAACCUAAGGUAAAAAAUAAAUGAAAAAAUGUUGCAGAUAUUGAGACAUUUAUUCUACAUUUUGUUCUUUAAAUUAUUAAAUAAAACAUUUAAAAUAUAAUA